GAUGAACGCUGGCGGCGUGCUUAAGACAUGCAAGUCGAACGAAGAGCUUGUAGCAAUACGGGCUCUGAGUGGCGAAUGGGUGCGUAACACGUAGGUGACCUGCCCUGAAGUGGGGAAUAACAGUCCGAAAGGACUGCUAAUACCCCAUGUGGUCCUGGAGGUUAGAGGCUCCAGGUCUAAAGCAGCAAUGCGCUUCAGGAGGGGCCUGCGGCCCAUCAGCUAGUUGGCAGGGUAACGGCCUACCAAGGCAACGACGGGUAGGGGACCUGAGAGGGUGACCCCC
rnacentral:rRNA from 1 species